rnacentral:rRNA from 1 species
CCAGUAGUCAUAUGCUUGUCUUAAAGAUUAAGCCAUGCAUGUCUAAGUAUAAGCUUUUAUACGGCUAAACUGCGAAUGGCUCAUUAAAACAGUUAUAGUUUAUUUGAUGGUCUUUACUACAUGGAUAACCGUGGUAAUUCUAAGGCUAAUACAUGCGCACAUGCCUCUUCCCCUGGAAGGGCAGUGUUUAUUAGAUACAGAACCAACCCACCUUCCGGUGGUCCUCAGGUGAUUCAUAGUAACCGAACGGAUCGCGUUGACUUCGGUCUGCGACGGAUCAUUCAAGUUUCUGACCUAUCAGCUUUCGACGGUACUGUAUUGGACUACCGUGGCAGUGACGGGUAACGGGGAAUUAGGGUUCGAUUCCGGAGAGGGAGCCUGAGAAACGGCUACCACAUCUAAGGAAGGCAGCAGGCGCGCAAAUUACCCAAUCCUGAUUCAGGGAGGUAGUGACAAGAAAUAACAACACUGGAAAUUUCAUUUCUAGUGAUUGGAAUGAUAGGAAUCCAAACCCCUUUCAGAGUAACAAUUGGAGGGCAAGUCUGGUGCCAGCAGCCGCGGUAAUUCCAGCUCCAAUAGCGUAUAUUAAAGUUGUUGCAGUUAAAAAGCUCGUAGUUGGAUUUCUGCUGGAAGCAGCCAGUCCGCCCUCAGGGGUGUGCACUUGGUGAAUUCUAGCAUCCUUCUGGAUUUCUCCACACUUCAUUGUGUGGAGUUUUUUCCAGGACUUUUACUUUGAGAAAAUUAGAGUGUUUCAAGCAGGCUUGUCGCCUUGAAUACUGCAGCAUGGAAUAAUAAGAUAGGAUUUCGGCCCUAUUUUGUUGGUUUCUAGGACUGAAGUAAUGAUUAAUAGGGACGGUUGGGGGCAUUCGUAUUUAACUGUCAGAGGUGAAAUUCUUAGAUUUGUUAAAGACGAACUACUGCGAAAGCAUUUGCCAAAGAUGUUUUCAUUAAUCAAGAACGAAAGUUAGGGGCUCGAAGACGAUCAGAUACCGUCGUAGUCUUAACCAUAAACUAUGCCGACUAGAGAUAGGAAAACGU